UACGUAGGGGGCAAGCGUUGUCCGGAAUCAUUGGGCGUAAAGCGCGUGUAGGCGGCUCGAUAAGUCUGCUGUGAAAGUCCAAGGCUCAACCUUGGGAUGCCGGUGGAUACUGUCGAGCUCGAGUCCGGAAGAGGAGUGUGGAAUUCCUGGUGUAGCGGUGAAAUGCGCAGAUAUCAGGAGGAACACCGGUGGCGAAGGCGGGUCUCUGGGCCGAUGACUGACGUGAGGAGCGAAAGCAUGGGUAGCGAACAGG
rnacentral:rRNA from 1 species